AAAACUGCACACAAAUAUUCAAGGUGACACUGCACCAGUGUAGAGCAGGGCAGGACAAUCCCCUCUCUCGACCAGCUUGUGAUGCAGGUGCAGGUCCUG